rnacentral:misc_RNA from 1 species
GAUGAAGAACGUAGCGAAAUGCGAUAAGUAAUGCGAAUUGCAGAAUUCCGUGAGUCAUCGAAUCUUUGAACGCACAUUGCGCCCUUUGGUAUUCCGAAGGGCAUGCCUGUUCGAGCGUCAUUUCAACCAUCAAGCCCCCGGCUUGUGUUGGGGACCUGCGGCUGCCGCAGGCCCUGAAAAGCAGUGGCGGGCUCGCUGUCACACCGAGCGUAGUAGCAUACAUCUCGCUCUGGGCGUGCUGCGGGUUCCGGCCGUUAAACCACCUUCAUAACCCAAGGUUGACCUCGGAUCAGGUAGGAAGACCCGCUGAACUUAAGCAUAUCAAUAAGCGGAGGA